CGCAUCUGUGCAUGCAGCAUAUCAAUAAGCGGAGGAAAAGAAACUAACAAGGAUUCCCCUAGUAACGGCGAGUGAAGCGGGAAGAGCUCAAAUUUGAAAUCUUAAAGGGUUUCCCUUUACGAAUUGUAGUUUAAAGAAGUGUUUUCUGUUGAGGUUUUGGUAAAAGUUCUUUGGAAUAGGACAUCAUAGAGGGUGAGAAUCCCGUAUUUGACCUUUACUUUCAACUUUGUGAUACACUUUCAAAGAGUCGGAUUGUUUGGGAAUGCAGUCCAAAAUGGGUGGUAAAUUUCAUCUAAAGCUAAAUAUUGGCGAGAGACCGAUAGCGAACAAGUACCGUGAGGGAAAGAUGAAAAGAACUUUGAAAAGAGAGUUAAACAGUACGUGAAAUUGUCAAAAGGGAAGCGUUUGACACCAGUGUUGUUUUUCUGAAAAUCAAUUAAAGAACUGCUUAUGCUAAGUUGUUUAGACUUUAUCAGCUAACUGCUUAGUUUUGAGCUUUUCUUUAAUGCACUUUUCAGUUAACAAGUCAACAUCAAUUUCUUUUGCUGUAAAAAAGCUUGAGGAAGGUGGCUUGAGAUUCGUCUUAAGUGUUUAUAGCCUCUUGCCUAUGCAGUCGGAGAGAUUGAGGUCUGCAGCGUAGAUCCUUCGGGGCUAAAUGCAUUUGUGCUAAGUUAUAACAUUUUAUAGACAACUUGUUGACUAUGAUUUGUCUUGUAGCUUACUCGCUUAUGUUAUUUUACCUACGCUUAGGAUGUUGAACGCGCACAGAGUCUC
rnacentral:rRNA from 1 species